ACAAACCGGAGGAAAGGUGGGGAUGACGUCAAGUCAUCAUGGCCCUUACGGCCUGGGCUACACACGUGCUACAAUGGUCGGUACAAAGGGUUGCCAAGCCGCGAGGUGGAGCUAAUCCCAUAAAACCGAUCGUAGUCCGGAUCGCAGUCUGCAACUCGACUGCGUGAAGUCGGAAUCGCUAGUAAUCGUGAAUCAGAAUGUCACGGUGAAUACGUUCCCGGGCCUU
rnacentral:rRNA from 1 species